CUCCCUUCUCUCCCAUCACUCUUCCUUCUGGUGCCAGGUUCUCUGGAGACCUUGCUGUCUUUUAAGUCGAGGAUGUAAGCGUCCUGACCAUUGUGUCUGCUGCUACAAUUCCCCGCCAUGAUGGACUCUUCUCUUUCUGGAGCUAUAAGUUCAAGUAAACGUUCCCUUCUAUGCAACAUGCUGGACCAGCUGGCUCACCCUAUCAUGAUGGAGUGAGCCAAAAUGAAAAUAAACGGGCCCAUCUUUCAAGUUGUUUUUGUCAAGCAUUUUGUCACAGCCAAAGCAACACAGUGGCCUUAUGGAGAGUCUUGGCAAUGGAUACCUUGACACCUGGUCCAAGGUAUUCAUUCCAGGCCAGAGACAGCAGGAGCAACGACACAGGAAAGCAAAAGGGCUUGG